CUUGGUCAUUUAGAGGAAGUAAAAGUCGUAACAAGGUCUCCGUUGGUGAACCAGCGGAGGGAUCAUUACCGAGUACUAUAACUCAUAACCCUUUGUGAACCUUUAUACCUGUUGCUUCGGCGGCGCGCCUCCCGGGGCGUGCCCGCCGGCAUUAUCAGAAUCUCUGUUCGAACCCGACGAUACAUCUGAGUGUUCUAAGCGAACUGUUAAAACUUUCAACAACGGAUCUCUUGGCUCCAGCAUCGAUGAAGAACGCAGCGAAACGCGAUAUGUAAUGUGAAUUGCAGAAUUCAGUGAAUCAUCGAAUCUUUGAACGCACAUGGCGCCUUCCAGUAUCCUGGGAGGCAUGCCUGUCCGAGCGUCGUUUCAACCCUCGAGCCCCCGUGGCCCGGCGUUGGGGAGCUGCCCAGGCAGUCCCCGAAAACCAGUGGCGGACCCGUUGGGCCCUUCCUUUGCGUAGUAACAUCUGCCUCGCAUCGGGAGCCUGCGGGCUAUCCGGCCUCUAAACCCCCCUCAAGCCCGCUCCGGCGGCACCAAGGUUGACCUCGGAUCAGGUAGGAAUACCCGCUGAACUUAAGCAUAUCAAUAAGCGGAGGAAAAGAAACCAACAGGGAUUGCCUCAGUAACGGCGAGUGAAGCGGCAACAGCUCAAAUUUGAAAUCUGGCUCCUUCGGGGCCCGAGUUGUAAUUUGCAGAGGAUGCUUCGGGUACGGGUUCCUUCCGAGUUCCCUGGAACGGGACGCCAUAGAGGGUGAGAGCCCCGUCUGGUAGGACACCCAGCCCGUGUGAAGCUCCCUCGACGAGUCGAGUUGUUUGGGAAU
rnacentral:sRNA from 1 species